UUUUUAAAAGUGCAAUUUUCAAAACAUUUCCUCUACUUCUUGCCAGUAGCAUUAGAAAACUGCUCUCUAAAUAUAAUUAUUUAAAAUUUGACUUUUUUUUAACAUUAAAGGUUUAAAGAGAAGAGCUUAGAAAAUUUGAUUGUUAGUCAUUUUCUGAAGAUUGGCUAACUUUGGUGAUAAAAUGCAAUCAGGUGCUCCCUAUGUUUCCCUUCAGCCUUGAAAAUAAGCAGCUUUUCAUUUCUUUAGAGAAAAUGAUCAUUUUGGAGAUCAAUAAAAUUAAUACUUAUUUUAUGUGGAUUUUAUUUCUAGAACUAGUAAAUUAAGAACCAGGGUUAGGUGAUGUCAAAAGGUCUCUUCUGGCUUGAAAAUUCUUUAUGAAGUACCAGUUUUCUAAAGGAGCCAAUAACCAUGCCUAUAUUAUUGUAAUCGCACUUAUUCAACCAAUGUUUAGCUUUCUUUAGUAGAGCAGCAGCAAAAGUUCCAUGCUUCGGUAUACAAGUAAUAAUUGUGGCUUGAAGUAAUUUCCAAAUAAUUGAUUUUUGAAGGUAUUAAAAAAAAAAAAACCCUGAUAUGUUAGUGCUUUAUUAACUCUGGGAUUUUAUAGAGCUCAACUUGAGGCUCCUUUACUUGGGUUUCUUACUUUAAGUCCUCUUGAAGGUAAUAUUUUAUGUAAGUGGUUAAUUUCCCAAGAAUUAAUUUUAGGUAUUCAGAGACAAGUACUCCUCAGUAUGUAUCUAUGUAUGUAUAUGAAUACAUUUUAAUAUAAAGUGUCUUAUAAAUUUCACAUUGUGUUUUGCUUUGCUGUUAUUUCAAAGGAUUUAAGUGAAUGGUGGAUAGUGCUCAAUUUCCUGAAAUGAUUAAAUUCACUCUCUGAAGAAUCUGGGGAAAAGGCCUGUAAUGACAUUUUGAUGACUUUCAUUUUAAGGUGUAAUAGAAAUUGAGUAAAAUGUUUUAAUAGCUAUUCUCUAAUAUCUUGUUCCAAAUACAAUGUUUUUAUUGCUCAUUCUAGCUUACAAUUUUGUGGUGAUAAUAAUGUUGGCUGGUAAUUGUUUCUUGUAUAGAAAUCAUUUUAUCCUUAUGUAAAAGUUAUUUCAGAAAAGCCUUCUUGCGUUUAUCUCAGAUGAAGCAAUUGCAUUGAACUCUUGAGAUAAAACAGUGAGUAUUUCCAGAUUGCGCCUACUUUAAUUCGACACUUCCUUAGGAGAAUUAGGAGUGUCUUAAAGGGAAGAAUAUUUGAUACGAUAGUUUGUAGUUUAAGGAGAAAAAACAAAGAGGCAUGCAAGUCAGAGAAAGCUGAGAAAAGAAAAAGGAAAGAAGGAAUAAAUGCUGAGUGAUUUUACUUUGCUCGGUUUUACUUUGUUUGCCAGAUGUCAUAUAUACUUUAAAAUUUAAAAUUGGAUUAAGAAAUAAAAAAGUAUGUAAAUAUGCUGUUGUUAUAGUUAUCUUUAUUAAAUAGGUAAGUGCAGAGAUAUAAACUUAAUAAGAUUACAGCUAAUGUUACCAGGAACAUCUUUGCACCUCAGUUCUUUCAGGAGAUGUACACAUAAGUAAAGUUAAUCACAUAGCUUUUAAAGAAUCAAAUCUUUUGGGUGCUAAAGUUAUGACAUAUUAGAUCAAUUUUCAUGUAAGUCAAAAUGAAAUCCUUACAUCAGUUUUUCUGUGCAAGUUACACAAAGCCAAUAGCUUCCAGACUGCUUUGUUCUAAAUGCUAAUUAGACAAAUUUUUAUACAAUUUAACUUGAUUAUAGUAAAUAAUUAGUCAGAAUAUAAUAUUGCUGAAUUAACACACCAUUAGUGUAAUUUUUUAUAGAAGUAAAAUUAAGCUCUGGCAUCUGAUUACAUUAUUCUCUCCUGAUAUGUUUACUACAUUUCUCCAAGUUUGCUUUCUUUUUGUCAUUAUGUUCCUUUUCAAAUACCACUAUUACAGAUCAGCUAUUAUAAUACUUACUUAUAGUUCCUUUCUGCCUACUAUAAUUCUGCCUUUGUCUUUGUGCUGUGCCAUUAUUCUUAUCUGUCACCUAGAAAGGUGUAUUGACUUUGAAGCUAUUUAUCUGACCCAUUUGCCUGAAUUUGGGUGAGGUGGGGGAAAGGCUAAAACUUGGUUCAUUAGAAAUUGUGUAUGAAGUGCUAAAAGAGUUGGCUUUGGUAUGUCCACGGGAUUGAUAUUAGGAUAUGGAUUUUCUUAGUAGUAGCCGGUUAUUUGUGCAAUUCAAUAAAAUCUUUUCUUCAGCUAUCUUGGUUUAUUUUCCACAAAACAGAGCAUCAUCUAGGAAAUUUAUUAUACAGAAUGCACUGUCAGGGAGGGGUCCUCUUAGAUAGCUAGUAAAAAUAGAACUCCAAGUUACUGUUCUACCUUGUUGGCAAGGAUACAUGGUAAAGCUUUAUCUACAGGUUUUGUAUGUAAUCAUCUUUGUAAUCCAACAGCAAAUUUUCAUUUGUUUCGCUAUCAGUUGGAUAGCUGUUGCUUAAAUGCUAGCAGAAUGAUUUAAGAAAAAAGUUAUCCUAGAAAGCUUAAUUACACACUCUAGGACUCACUAAUAAUUUAUUCAGAUUUUAAAAUGUGAGCAUCGUAUUUGCUUAACUGUGUUUAUAAUCUCUUUUCCAAGAGAAGGGCUAUAUAGGCUCGUUAUAUCCCUUAAUCCUUCUAAAGUUGCUAGACUUUAUGAUCCUAUAAUACUAUACUGUAUAUUGUACAAAACCUUUUUGCAUCCUUACUAAUAUCUCUAAGCCAUGCAUUCAUGCCUUUUAUGUUACUUGACAUUAUUUAAGCACAGCAUGCUUGUGAUUUAUAAGUCUGUGAAUGUCCUGUGUUUUUCUGACAAUUGAGUUCGUAGUUCAAACGCAGUUACUGAAGUAUACUAGUAGGCUAGUAGUUUCCUUAGAGAGAGACAAGGUAACACAGAGUGGUUAGGAACAUAUGAUUUGUAGUUAAUUAUCACAAUCUCAAGUGUUUUAACAUAGUUUACUGUAGAGAUCUUAAAACAUGCAGAAUUUCCAGAAAAUAUUUGAAGAAUUCAGUUUGCUAGAAAUUGGAAACAUGGAAGUCAAAUGAAUUAUUUUAAAAAUCUCCUCCCAUAUGGAUUUAGAAAGCAUUCAUUUAUUCCUUUACUCAUUCAUCAAAUGUUUAUUCAGUGCCUACCAUGUGCCAGACACUAUUCUUGUGGCUCUUGAUUUGUCACCAUUAGUUCAGUAUUUCAUAUAUUUUCCUGAUUUUGUAGAUUAUGGGAAUCUUACUAGUGAUUUAUACAUCAUCAGUGAAUCACACAUCACAAUCCAUAUUAUUUUGGAGUGUAUAUUUCUCUUUUCUACUCUUUAAAUAGCUUAAGAUAUAUUCUAGGCAUAUAUACCAAUUUAGUAAAAAGGGAAAGAUUUAUACAAUCUGAAGUGAAACCAGAGUGUGUGUGUGUGUGUGUGUGUGUGUGUAUACAUAAAAUAUAUAUAUACACCAAUUUAGAAGAAGAUAUUAGUAAAACAGUCAGAAUGUGCUCCAAGAAGUUAUCUUAUUGAUAUGUAUUUAGAAAGUCUAAAUUUAUCCCAUUUUCCUUAUUAUUCAGGCCCACUCUGCAGCAGACACUAAAUUGGUUUUAUUGUUUUUAUGCUUCCUUCCAAGGCUUCCUGUAUUAUUUUAAGGGAUUUCUAAUUCUAAUUAUCAAUGGCUAACAUUUACCUUCUAUAUGUCAGACAGUGUGCUAAGCCCUUUACCUUCAUUUUCUAAUUUAAUCUUCUCAAUCACUUUAUGAGAAUGGUAGCAUCAUUACUCCUGCUUGUAGAUGAGGAAACUGAGGUUUCGAGAAGUUAAAUAACUUCUUCAAGGUCACAGAGCUAACAAGCAGCUGAGAUGACUUAAAAUCUAGGUCCUUCCGGUGCUAUUAAUUUUUCUUGAUAUUCAACACAUAUUUUUGAGCCUCUACAAUGUCCUAGGCUUGUUCAAGAUGUUCAGAAUAAAGCAGUGGCUAGAACAGGCUUUAAAACCCUGUACUUUAUUGCCUAAGUCAAUGCCCUGAGAAUACAGGUGCCUCAUAACUACCUUGACACUUUUAUUAUGUUAUUUUCUUCGGCAUUCAGGGAUUCCCCAGAGCCAACAGGAUACAAUUUUAAAAUGUCAAACUUUUUUAGAUCUUAUACCAUUUGGCUUCAGUCUUUCUUUCCAACUGUAUCAUUGUCUAUUUCUAAAUAGGGAUGUUCUACACUGUAUGGCUGAUUUGCUCAUUGCCCCCACAAAGUUUGUCUUGCAUUUUCUCUGGCCAUUCCUGCACCUGAAAUAAUUCUGCCACUGCCUUCUCAAAGACUUCAAACCUUCAAUGUCCACGUCAAAGCCCCUGGCUCUGAGGAAGCGUGUCUUAGAAAUAAAAUCCCCAAAUUCUUUUAUCUACAUUGAUUAUUUGACACAUGGCACUUGUAACAACUAAGAUUAUUCAAGGCGAGAUGAUCCUCCACAUUUUUUUUUUUUUUUUUACCAUGUCUAUGUUUGUAGGUGUGCCCAACUGACAUACUGGCUAAGAGUUCAGGGACCUAGCAGUGAAAUAAGAAAAGACUAUUCAAAAGAUAGGACCUGAAGACUAGGAAGUAAGAGCCCCCACUGCCUAGCAUAGUGCCUCACAUAGGGUAUGCAGUUCAUACAUGUUUUGGGCCAGGAAAAGAGGAGAAGGGGAGUGAGGAGGAAGAGAAUGACAAUGGAGGAAAGCUUACAGGGAAGGAGAAAAUAAUACUCCUAAAAUCAUAUCCUAAGGCCUUUAAAUGUCUUUAAAUAUUUAUAUUAGGGUUAGAGAUAUCAUUAAGGAACAUAUUAAUAUAUGCAAUAUAUUUUUGAUUCUUCCUGGAAUAGAUUGUCACUUUUAUCUAUAUUAAUACAUUUGAUAUAGAAUGGACAUUCUGGUGUUUCUAAGGAAAAGUGCAAUUGUGUUGUGUUUGUCUGUUUUCCAUCACAAUUCAGGCCUACAAUGCUGUUAACUCUAAGUUGAUUUUGCUGUUUUACACUGUAAAUGAUGAUUUUUCUACUUCCUGGGACAUAUUUCAGUACCAUAAAAGUUGCUGACCACCCACCACUCCUCAAAAAAGAGCCAUUUCCUUAACCAUCAUAAAGUUUUAUUACCUAAUACCUCAUGUUGGGUUUUUAUUUUCAAUAAAAGCCAAAUUCAACAUUCAAACUCCUAGUGCAAAUCUCCUGUAUCAAUAAACAGUACUUGUGGUUAAUUUUAUUAUAUUUUUUUGCUUGAUUAUAUGCAAAGGUGUAGCCUUGAAAUCUUAAGAGAGAUAUGGGUCUGUAUUUUUAUGAACACUCAAACCAAGUUAUUAAGGUAGAAAUUUUACUUCAUAGGAAAAUCCAUGUGGAUAUUUAAAAAAAUCAACUACUAUAUCUGACCUCUGCUGUAAGGCUGUUUUACUGGCUAUAAGAGCCAGAUUAAUGUACAUAGAUAUAAACAUAGAUAGGGCUUCCUUCAAGGAGGCAUUACUUUUGCAUAAUAUAUGUGUAGCGUGUGUUAAUUUUCCUGGGUGAAGCAAGCUAGAAAAGUUGCUUCUUAAACCAGUGAAUGAACUUAUAUGGGAGGACCCUGCUGAAGCAGCCCCGUUUUUGAGAAUUCCUACCUGCUAGUGGAGAUAAGUGAGCAUAAAGCUUUGGCCAUAAGGCUUUGAGUUGUCCUGCUUUUAAGAAACAAGAGAUAUUUCCACAGUCUGUCUUGUAGUAGUAGUAACUGAACAGUCCAUGAGAGUUCCAGAAACGAACUGUGCUCCAAAUGCUUAUCACAUGCUGUGUUGACGUCGGUAAAAUGCAGAGGAUGAGCUGGGCUCCCCUUUAACCCUAACUUUCUAUGGUGCUUUCAUUUUGACACUAAUUUCCGACAUGAACCUUGGCACUUAGCUACAGUGUGUAAUUGUUGGUAUCUCGCUGCCACCUGGGUGCACAAUGAGAGUAGCAAAUGGAGAACAAUAUUUAGCCUCUGUGAUUUGCCACAAGAACACACAACAUGCAGUUGGAAAGGGAAAUAUUUAAUCAGCCAGUUUUCUCAGUACAGUCUCCAUCAGUUGAGUUGGUUGAAGAUUUUCUUCCUCUGUAUUAACGGCUUGUUUUGUCACUGUGAAGAUAAAUCCUUUGGCUUCCUCUUGAAUUCAUAUUAUGCAAAUUUGGGGACAUUGCAUAUUAAUUUGAACAUACAAGCAUAAAGAAGAUACUUUUAUGCUAAAUUCAUAGCUCACUUUGGUUAAAAGAUUUUUUUAAAAAGCUCCUGGAGUCCUCUGUUUUGUUAGUUGGCUGCGGACUUAAUAUGUGAAAGACUGUAAGUGACGCACGAAUAAUACCAUUCCGUUUUUAGGCAUGUUGUAUGAUGAUGCUGUUGAUCUUUAAAAGAAAUUCCAUUUGGUGACAUUUACAGAAAUAGUUUUGUGUUAGCAGCUUUUAAUUUUAAUUUUAAAAAAUAUUGAGAAUGGUGUAACUUUCAAGUGGUGAGGAAGCCAUCUAGAAGGUAUAUACUUACGUAAUGGAAAUAGGAGACAUACAUUGACUCUCAUCAGAUGUUGUGCUUAUAUUCAAUCCAGGGAAACAGUUUGACAAGUAAGAAUAUGGUAUAGUGCAGAAUGCCAGUAUAACCAGGCGGAUCACCUUAAAGACUCAGAUCUAUUUUAUUUUAAACCUGAUGUUUUUAAAGUGCUAGGAAGAUCCGAAUCCAGAGUCGAGUAGUCCUCACUUGAAUCCUGCUGAUUCAGGGCAAUGCAGUCCAGUCCACGACAAUUCACUCAGUUACUUACUGAUUGGAUCUCUAAUAUUUAUAAACAUUUUAAACUCCUCCAGUCAAUUAUCUCUUUCGUAGUAUUAUUUCAUCUUUCGGUUGGGUAACUACAGUAAGAUAGAUGGGUACAUAUGGCAAAGAAUUUCUGGUUCUUUCCCACAAAACAAAAUAUUUCAAAGAGUUCAGAAUUUCUACAUGGUUUGGAAAUUUAAUUUUUCAUUCCAAAUUGGGUAAAAGUCGGUAUAGUGUAUAAUCUUUCAGACUAAAAUGGUUUCUCUUUGACCCCAAUAAUUACAAUUAUUAUUAUAACUUUGGAAAGAUUUUCAAUCAUUCAUUCACUCAAUCAUUCAAUUGGCUUUUUUCCCUAAUUAUCUCAUCUGAACAAUGUUGCUAAUGGCACUGUGAAGGAUUUUAUAAAAGGAGAAAAUAUAACCGUUCUCUCGUCAACUGUAGUAGAAUUGGAGAGAAAAGAAAACCUUGAAGAACUAAUUGAAUAAUAUAAUGAAAUUACUGUUAGCAAUCAUACUUUAGUAGUGUGAAGGGAAAAGCUAUUUCUGCACAGGUAGAAAGCAGUAUUAACCAUCAAAUAUAACUUUCAGGCUCAGAAUAUAGGUUCAGAUUAUUUGUUGUGAGAAUAAUGAGAAUAUUCAGAAUAAAGGCUAAUUCUUGGAAAUGGAUUUUAGAAUUUUCAAUUGAUUUCAUCAGCAAAAACAUAAGGCUUUCAUUUCAUAAAAACUUAAAAAAAAUGUAACUACGUCAUCCUGUUAGUGAUUAAUUCAACUGUCUAAAAAUUACAAAUAUUUUACUUUAUUGAAGGUUUAUAGUAAAAUACGUGUAUGUGUAUCGAAGACUGGGGGCUUAGUGGAUUUAUUGGUGCCCUUAUUUAACUUUGCAAUAGUCUUCCGAAGUUUGGACAUGAAUGUAAAUUGAAAUAUUUUAAAAAUAGUUUACAUCAUUGCUUGUGCCUAUCUUCUGAAAUUUGUCAACUUCCUUGCUAUCUUGAGAAGAUAGGCUAACACAUUCUAUGUGAUGGAAAACUUUUCAAAGCUGUCUUUCACAUCUCAGGAUGUGUAAAGCCCUGCCCAUAGCUUCAUUCUCUGGCAGAAAUAUUAUACCAUUUACCCACAUAGAUAAAAACACUAUUUCAAACAAAAUAUAACAUUAAGCAAAGAGCUUUGGUAUUGGUUCAAUUUUCACUUUCUAUCUCAAAUAUGAAAGUUUACGAUUUUAAGGAAAAACAACUUCGUAUGCAUGUUCAUUACCAUUUUCCAGGAAAGCCAAAGAUUAGCAGGCCAAAAAGAAUUGGAAAACUUCACUUUAAAAGCCUUGACAUUUUUGCCCUUAGUUACCUGUGUGUUGAAAAGCAAAGGCCUAAUAAUGACUUAAUUAUUCUCUUCUUUUCUCUAGUGGAGUUUGUGUUUUGUAGAUGUAGAGAAAAGAGCCUUGACUAUUUCUGGCUUCUCUGCCCAGGGAAGGGAAGAAUUGGCUAAAAAAGUACACAUUGCUAGCAGAUAUUUCUUAUUGACAGUGUAUGGUAUUCUGUGAGCUGUGGAAGACAGAUGCCCUUUUAUUGGGGGCAGGGAGAGGAUGUAGCAAAGGACCAAUUUUCCUGGAGAUCCUAUUAUGUGAAGGGACUUAUACUAGACACAUCAUGGAGAAAAUCAGAAAGAAGGCUGCUUAAUGAGACCCACUCCUGGAUGCAGCCACUCUCAAUUCUCAGUGUCUUUGGGAAGCAAGUUUCGCCAUCCACUUGUCUAAACAGAUAAUGACAGCAGAGGUGCUACACACCUUCUCCCUGUGACUUGUGAAUGCCUUUGGUGCUCCCAAAUAAGGAACUCCUCUCACUGCUGUCUGCUCUGAGCUGUAUUUCAUUUUGAUAGCCAUUUGCAGGAGACACCUUUGAACUCCAUGCAAUGUAAAAGAUGUGGUUGAGAAAUUCUUCGGUGGAAUUUCUUCUCCUUUCCACCACCCUCAUUUUCCUCUGGGUGAUUUAGAGCUUGAAGAUUAGGUACUUAGAGACAGUAUAUCUGACCCACCUUUAAAGAUACACAUUAAGACUCACACAAUUUGAAGAAAAAAGAAGCCAAAAAACAAAACAAAACAAACCAAAAAAAAAAAACCUUGAGAAGGCCAAAGGAUUAUAGUAUUAAGAAAAUAUGGUAUAUGGUUAAAUUUAGAAAUCAGAAGAGUUGAAAGAAAAUAUGUGGAAAAAAUUGUUUUUAUUGAAUUGUAGAUUCAGCUAUUCCCAGUUUCACUUUCACUUGCUGGAUCAUAACGAUCAUAAUGUCCAAUUUCUUCUUCCAAUUUAAUUUUAGUGUCGUCCCUCUAAAGUAAAUAUGCUUGAGAGUAGGCAUACUUACUGUUAGGAGAUGGUACACCUCUUUGGUUCAUCUCCAGUGUACUCAUUCAUAAUAAUGUAACUUUGGCAUAAAUUGCUCAUUGCCUUCUGUCUUUUCCCCAAUAAUGUAGCCAACGUAUUUUGAGUAAUGUUGCUUCCGAAAACAAAUACAACUUCUUAGCUUUCAUCUUGAAAUAUUUAAACUUGAAAUCUGAAUUGCAGCGCUACAUCAGUCAAUGUCCAGCAGCACAAAGUUAUUUUCUUGCACCUCUGGUGAAUUCAUAGCUUGUCAGUAAUCAGUGAGUUUCUACUUCUCAGGUGCAUGUUUAUUUUUCUAGGCUACAUUGAUCAGUCGUGGUUUCAGCCGUUUUUACCUUGGAGUUUGUACCCUGUGAUUUGAGGGCCUUGGAAGGCUUUUGAAGGUCAAAUAUUCUAAUAUCUGAGCGUACACUUUCAAGAGAAGGUAAUUGGAAUAUAGGCAUCUAUGUCUGAUGGUAUUUGGAAGAUCUCAGCUGAUGUCGUCUUUUCUUUUUCACUUUGGGACCAUAAGAGAAGCAGCAACCUUUGUGGAAGGGUACAGCCUUUGGAGUCAAACCAAAUUAGAUUAAAAUUCCAGACCUACUAUGACCUUGGACCAAUUGCUUAGUAUCUUUGAAACACAGUUUCUUCCUCUGUAAAAUAAGGAUUAUAAUACCCACCUUAGUAAUUUUUUUAACCAUUUCCCACAUGUCAGGCAUCAUUUUCACAUGGACUAAAGGCAAGCAUUAUGAUCCUUCACACUUUACAAGUUACUAUACAGAGGUUUAGAGAGGUCAAAAAAACACCCAAGAACACACAUAGUUGUUAAGUAGUGGGUCCUCUUGUUGAUUCUCUUAUUUCAGUAGAAUUUGUUUUUAGAAAAGGACGUGCAGGGUCCAAAAAUAUAUACUUAAUAAAUAUAGUUUCCCCCAUGUGAUUUAGUUUAAGCCCUUGGGUGUAUAUUAGAGAUAUACUAAAGUAUUAAUACUGCAGUGUUAAAGCUGUAAUUUCUAUUUCACCCAUGUUGCUGCAUCACAUACUGAUGCUGUUUGAGAGUGUGCUUUUAAGUGGCUGUGGAGGACUAUAUGCUAUGAGAGCUGCUUUAUGCUUUUCUUUUUGAAGAUGUUGAUGGUGCUCUCAUCUUGAUGAGCACAACUCCUUUUCAGUAAAGAUUCUGGAUAAAUGUCUGUUGCAUGGAAUUGAAUGCUAGUCUACAAGGCAAUUUUUAUACCUUAGAUGAAGAGUGGAUGCCAUUUGCAGAAGAACUUGACAUUCUCAGGGAGUCAUUUUAUAGCCUAAAAGAAUUUUAUAUUUGUGAUUGCAUGACUCUUGAUAAAGAAUAAAGAAAAGAAUUAUUUACUUGGAAUUUAAAACUUUCAUUCCACUGUGGCUUCAUCUGCUGCCCAUUUGCAGGACACUGAUAAAUUCAACUUCUUCUCCCGCUUCAUCUGCAGGCUCUUGAAGUCUGUGGGAUGUCCAAGUGUGUAUAGAAACUCGGAAAUAGCACAGUCCCUCUGGUUAAGAAUAACAUGUCAGUUUUCUUUUCUUGCUUUUGUGUGCUCUCUGGAGCUCACCCAUGCAUGAUGUUCCAGUGGACUUCAAAGGCAAGUCUAUGGUUGGAUUAGCUCCACAGGACAGAGAGCAAGAUUUGAGGUUAACAUGAGCAUAAUGUCCUGGAUGAAGCUUUGGAAGUACUUGUGAAGGAUUCUCAGGAUGAUGGAGUGAGUGAUGGAAUAGGUUGUCAACUGUAGUUACUCCACUCAGCGCAGAAUGGCGGCGGGGAAAUAUAAUCAGACAUGCCCAAAGAAGUCUGCUUAGGGUGAAACAAAUACCUUUGAGGUUUAAAUCAGAAAGGAAGGAGAGACUGUUUCUACAGGUGUCAUAGAAAAAUCAAUACUGAGCCAAGGAUUAUUGGAUCCCAUAGAACCAUGGAGGCGUGGCAGUGAAAUUCUCCCAAAGGCAGACGGUGUUCCUAGGUUUGGAAAUAUAAAUCCCAUGGGAAGUUAGCCGAAGAACAUUUUAUGCAUCACUUAUCCUGUUACGAGCCCUGUGCUGUUCUGUCUCUCUAUAAGACUGGCUGAAACCACAACGGGUGUUUGCAAUCUGCACUCUAACUUUGGAUCACCUGGUUAAUACUCUGACUCUGAUUAUUACCAAAGACAAUAUUCUCUAAAAGAUAUUCUCUAUAAGAAGGAUGCUCCUGCAUUAUUAAUAACAUCACAGGGAAAAUGCAACAUUUUGGAUGUCACAUCUGAUAAGUUGGCAGUUAAAGAACAGAAACACAGCAAUAAGACUGAGUGGCUACAUUUUCCCAGUGCCACCAACUGGGAGUUAAGCUGACUAACAUUUUGAAAGCCCAGCCCAUUUCAUUCACAGCAGGAUGGCAGUGGGUGACUGAUCGUACCCGCCGGCUGGCUAAUGUCAUAAUUAACAAAGUUGCUACUACAUCUGCAAAGUUUAAUCGAAAAAUUUGCCAGUGAUAUGAUGGCAUUGUCACAGAGAUCACAAGGGACACGUAGUCGACUUUUGCUCAAGAUGGAACGACAGAGCUGUGUAGGCAAGAUGAGAAAUUGCAAACUUGUUCGGCCAAAGGAGGCUAAUAAUGAAGGGGCCGGGAAGGAGGCCAGUGCUACCAGGGUUAUCUCACAACCUCAGAUGCUGGAUAAGUCGAAGGAGGCAGAAUCGCUUUGGGAUGACAUUCAGAAAGGCUGGAGUGAUUACUUGGAAGAGAAAACCCUACCUAUUCUUUCCAAGGUUCAGGAAUAUUCCCCUGACCUGCUCAUCCAAUGGUCCAGUAAUGAAUUACUGGAGACCUGCCUUAGACAAAGAAUGCACUCAGAGCCCCCACACACCUAAAGCCACGCUUUGAAGGAUCUGCCAAGCUCACUUUUAAUCAUGAGAAAGAAAUUACCCACACGGAGUCAGCAGAAAAUGAGAAAGUAGAGCUCGUGCUGUGAAUAAUUCCAGCAAGUGCCAAGGGGCUAGUUGAGGAAUGGCUUCAUGAGGGGAACUAUUAAUAGCCCGCCAGUCGGGUAGGCAGCAUUCAAUCCUUCUAUGCCUUCUUUCGCCACCUGUUGAGGUCUUUCUUCUGAAACAAAGAAGAAAUAGACAAAUCAGACUUGCCCUCUUGGAAAUGUGGUCCAGAUUUCUCUACUCCCAAGCUCCAAAAAAAGGUAUACAUUGGAUGGGCUAGAUCAGCUCCUCCUGAGAGCCAUAAAUCCACCAAGAGUUGUUUUCCACGUAAGGGUGUGGUACAAUGGGGAAUACCUGAUGUUGGAGGAAAGUGGGAGGACUUUGGAGUGGAGUUGCAUUCUAAUCUCUCUGCCACAUCAACUAUGUGACCUGGGGCAAAUGAUAUAAACUCUAUGAGCCUCCCUUCUUAUCUUUAAAAUGAAGAGAAGUAAUACCUACCUUGUAGGGUUGUUGUGAGGAUUAAAUGAAGUAAUGCAUAUGGUACCUAACAAAGUAUUUAACAUCAUAUUUUUUAAAAGCUCAUGAAAUAUUAGUUUUUCUUCCUUCCCCUCUUUCUAUUUUCUCCCCUGUUCCCUUUUCUCUCCCUCCUCUGCCCUCGCCUUCCUUCAGAUGUUAGUCUAAAACAGCACCUUGGAUCUAAGCAGCACCUUUGAGAAAGAAAAGACUGCUUCAAGAAUGUCUAGUUGCACCUCCUUUCCAUAUGUGGCCCGAAUGCCUAGGUUGGAUCAGUAGUUUAAUUUUUUUAUUGAACUGUUUAAUGUCGACUAUGGACUUACGUUCACUUUUACUGUUUUCUGUAUAUUUAUUUUUGCUUGAACUGUUUUAAUAUUGACUAUUUACCUCUGCUCAUUUUUAUUGAUUUUCUGUAUUUUUUCAAUGAAAAUUAUAAUAAAAAUUAGUUUUUGUUA